GUCUCACCAGCCGUCGGGUGUGAUCAGUCUCCCCCGCCGGCUGACGUAAUGAAGGGGAGGAGCAGCGGCGCACCAAGAAGCAGCGACGAGGGACAUCGUCGCUUCCUUUGGGAAGUGACUGGAGGGGUUUUUACUCCUUCAGCAACCGGGGAUGGGAGGUGGGAGGGAGAGGGGACCUGCAAUGCCAGGAAAACAGAUUGUUUUCC